rnacentral:rRNA from 1 species
UCUUGGUCAUUUAGAGGAAGUAAAAGUCGUAACAAGGUUUCCGUAGGUGAACCUGCGGAAGGAUCAUUAUCGAAUCGUCAACACGAGUUGUUGCUGGUCCUCUAUGGGGACACGUGCACGCUCUGUUUACACAUCCACUCACACCUGUGCACCUUUUGUAGUUCUGUGGUUCGGGGGACCCUGUCUUCCUUCUGUGGUUCUGCGUCUUUACACACACACUGUAACAAAGUUUUAUGGAAUGUAUGUCGCGUUUAACGCAUAAAAUACAACUUUCAGCAACGGAUCUCUUGGCUCUCGCAUCGAUGAAGAACGCAGCGAAAUGCGAUAAGUAAUGUGAAUUGCAGAAUUCAGUGAAUCAUCGAAUCUUUGAACGCACCUUGCGCCCUUUGGCUAUUCCGAAGGGCAUGCCUGUUUGAGUAUCAUGAACACCUCAACUCUCAUGGUUCCCCAUGAUGAGCUUGGACUUUGGGGGUCUUGUUGGCUUGUGGUCAGCUCCUCUAAAAUGCAUCAGCUUGCCAGUGUUUGGUGGCAUCACAGGUGUGAUAACUAUCUACGCUUGUGCUUGUUUGCUAGAUAACCUCCAGAGAUGGAGGUUCGCUGGAGCUUACAAACGUCUCUCCUUUGCGGGGACAGCUUUUUAACGUUCGAUCUCAAAUCAGGUAGGGUUACCCGCUGAACUUAAGCAUAUCAAUAA